rnacentral:rRNA from 1 species
UACGUAGGGGGCUAGCGUUGUCCGGAUUUAUUGGGCGUAAAGAGCGUGUAGGCGGCCAGGUAGGUCCGGUGUGAAAACUCGAGGCUUAACCUCGAGAUGUCAUCGGAAACCAUCUGGCUAGAGUCCGGAAGAGGAAAGUGGAAUUCCUGGUGUAGCGGUGAAAUACGCAGAUAUCAGGAAGAACACCAAUGGCGAAAGCAGCUUUCUGGGACGGUACUGACGCUGAGACGCGAAAGCGUGGGGAGCGAACAGG